rnacentral:tRNA from 1 species
GCCCCCGUGGCGAAACUGGUAUACGCGGCCGAUCUGGGAUCGGCUGGCGGUUUUCCGCCGUGCGGGUUCGAAUCCCGCCGGGGGCA